rnacentral:rRNA from 1 species
AUUGAACGCUGGCGGCAGGCCUAACACAUGCAAGUCGAACGGUAACAGGAAACAGCUUGCUGUAUUCCUGGGCGGAGGCGUGCGGGUGAGCUAUGAAUCUGAAACUGCCUGAUGGAGGAGGACAACUAACGGAAACGGAUACUGAUUCCGCAUUACGUCGCAAGGCCGAAGAGGUGCGGACUCCGCGCUCUUGCCAUCGGAUAGGUCGGAUUAGCUAGUUGGUGGGGUAACGGCACACCAAGGCGACGAUCCGUAGCUGGUCUGAGAGGAUGAUCAGUCACACUGGAACUGAGACACGGUCCAGACUCCUACGGGAGGCAGCAGUGGGGAAUAUUGGACAAUGGGCGCAAGCCUGAUGCAGCCAUGCCGCGUGUGUGAAGAAGGCCUUCGGGUUGUAAAGUACUUUCAGCGGGGAGGAAGGGAGUUAAGUUAAUACCUUGGUUUAUUGACGUUACCCGCAGAAGAAGCACCGGCUAACUCCGUG